CUACGAGACGCUCCAGUGAGGAAUAUUGCACAAUGGGGGGAACCCUGAUGCAGCAACGCCGCGUGGAGGAUGACGCAUUUCGGUGUGUAAACUCCUUUUAUAUGUCAAGAAAAUGACGGUAGCAUAUGAAUAAGCACCGGCUAACUCCGUGCCAGCAGCCGCGGUAAUACGAAGGGUGCAAGCGUUACUCGGAAUCACUGGGCGUAAAGGACGCGUAGGCGGGUUGGAAAGUCAGGUGUGAAAUCCUACAGCUUAACUGUAGAACUGCACUUGAAACUUCUAAUCUAGAGUAUGGGAGGGGGAGAUGGAAUUAGUGGUGUAGGGGUAAAAUCCGUAGAUAUCACUGGGAAUACCUAAAGCGAAGGCGAUCUCCUGGAACAUUACUGACGCUAAGGCGUGAAAGCGUGGGGAGCAAACAGGAUUAGAUACCCCCGUAGUC
rnacentral:rRNA from 1 species